rnacentral:tRNA from 1 species
UAGGGACGUAGUUUAACGGUAGAACAAAGGUCUCCAAAACCUUUGGUGUGGGUUCGAUUCCUGCCGUCCCUGUUCA